GGGUGGAUUAGCUCAGUGGUUAGAGCUUAGGUCUCAUAACCGGAAGGCCCCGGGAUCGAAUCCCACUAGAGGCG
rnacentral:tRNA from 1 species